rnacentral:rRNA from 1 species
AACGAACGCUGGCGGCAGGCUUAACACAUGCAAGUCGAACGGAUCCUUCGGGAUUAGUGGCAGACGGGUGAGUAACGCGUGGGAACGUACCCUUUGCUACGGAAUAACUCAGGGAAACUUGAGCUAAUACCGUAUGUGCCCUACGGGGGAAAGAUUUAUCGGCAAAGGAUCGGCCCGCGUUGGAUUAGCUAGUUGGUGGGGUAAUGGCCUACCAAGGCGACGAUCCAUAGCUGGUCUGAGAGGAUGAUCAGCCACACUGGGACUGAGACACGGCCCAGACUCCUACGGGAGGCAGCAGUGGGGAAUAUUGGACAAUGGGCGCAAGGCUGAUCCAGCCAUGCCGCGUGAGUGAUGAAGGUCUUAGGAUUGUAAAGCUCUUUCACCGGUGAAGAUAAUGACGGUAGCCGGAGAAGAAGCCCCGGCUAACUUCGUG